GACGAACGCUGGCGGCGUGCUUAACACAUGCCAGUCGAACGGAAAGGCCCGGCUUUUGUGGGGUGCGGGGAUGGCGAACGGGUGAGUAACACGUGAGUAACCUGCCCUUGACUUUGGGAUAACUUCAUGAAACUGGGGCUAAUAGGGGAUAGGAACUCCUGCUGAAUGGUGGGGGUGGGAUAGAUUAGGCGGUUGGGGAGGGACUCGCGGCUCAUCAGGUUGUUGGUGUGGUGGUGGCUUAGCAAGGCCUUGAAGGGUAGCCGGCCUGGGAGGGUGACAUGACCAGCCGGGCUGGGACUGCGACCCGGACCCCACCGGGAGGCAGGGGAGGAGAAGAGUGCACAGUGGGAGGAAGCCUGAUCCAGCACAGCCGCGUGGGGGAUGACGGCCUUCGCGUUGUAAUGCGCUUUCGCCUGUGACGAAGAGUGAGUGACGGUAAUGGGUAAAGAAGCACCGGCUAACUACGUG
rnacentral:rRNA from 1 species